GGACUGCCUCCGGGACCGAUACGCGUGCUUCCACCCCACAACUUCACCUCACGACUCCCCCAACAAACCCACCCCGACCCGGGCGGCACACAGACACCGGUGCGGCCCUGCCGAGCCCAUCACCUGAGGGAAACCUGAGGAGGGGCCGCCACACCGCGCUCGCCCCCAAUCUCCCCCCCCCCCCCGGCGCUCUCCCGCUGCCGGCAGCGCGCCCCCGAGCCGUGCGCGCUCCCGCGGCCGCCCUCCCUCCCUCCUUCGUUCCCCGCGGCCGGCUCGGGGGCGCCCCCCAGCGGGGCAGCGCCGCCACCGCCCCGCCGCCCGCCCGCCGCCCGCUGCCGCACAAGGCCCGGCCCGAGCAGCCGGGAGACAAAAUGGCGGCCGGGCGCGGGAUCACGUGACCCCCUUUGUGCCUAGCGGGGCCCGGCGGAAGGGGCCAGCGGCCGCCCCUGGGGGGGGGUCGGGUGGGGGGGGGGUAGCGGUGUAAAAGGGGGGGCACCGGUAAAGGGGGGAGCGGUAACGGGCGGCAGGGCGCGGAGCCUUCCUCCCCGCACUCCCCGGUUUCAGCCUCCCCCCCCCUCCUCCUCCUCCUCCUCCUCCCGGCGGGCGGGGAGAGCGGGGAGAAGAUGGCGGCCAUUUUGUGCUUGCGCAGAGGCGAAGGUCGUCCCAGAGCAGCCUUACAAACGUCAAAAAGCGCUUCCCCCUGCCCAUCCCUGCAGCCAGCUAUUUAAGGAACGCAGCAAGUGCUUGAACACGUCUGGGGGUUGCAUUGUGUUAUAAGAUUGUCUCAAGGAUUUGGACCUCUAUUACAACAUGAAUUACCUUCUUGAGCCAUUUGAUAAAAGAGGAAAAAUAUGAAGAAUGCUAGUUGGAAGGAUGCUUUAACCUCUGGAUGCAGCUUCCUCUGACGCAUAACACUGAAGAGCCAUACAAGUUGCAGUCUGCAAGAGGCAUGGAAGAACGAGAGUCUGGAGCAAGACAGACAGACUUUGUUCACAGCUGGGAAACAGGUUACCCUUAAAGAUAUAUAUAUAUUUUUUUAAAAAGUAUUCAUUACUAUGAUUUGAUGCUGACAUGUAUGAUGUGGAGUACUACAGAUAACAAGAAAGGUGAGAAACAAGACUAUGUCAGAUGGGUUUAUAAAAUAGAGAAACCUUUUUAUCCCA